rnacentral:rRNA from 1 species
CCUACGGGUGGCAGCAGUAGGGAAUAUUGCGCAAUGGGGGGAACCCUGACGCAGCGACGCCGCGUGAGCGAAGAAGGCCUUCGGGUCGUAAAGCUCUGUCCUAUGGGACGAGAGAGGACGGUACCAUAGGAGGAAGCCCCGACUAACUACGUGCCAGCAGUCGCGGUAAUACGUAGGGGGCGAGCGUUGUCCGGAAUUACUGGGCGUAAAGGGUGCGUAGGCGGGCUGACAAGUCUGAUGUGAAAACUCUGGGCUUAACCGAGAGCAGGCAUUGGAAACUGUCAGUCUUGAGUGCAGGAGAGGGAAGCGGCAUUCCCGGUGUAGCGGUGGAAUGCGUAGAUAUCGGGAGGAACACCAGUGGCGAAGGCGGCUUUCUGGACUGUAACUGACGCUGAGGCACGAAAGCUGGGGGAGCGAACAGGAUUAGAUACCCCAGUAGUC